GCCCUCGUAGCUCAAUGGUAGAGCAACGGCCUUUUAAGCCGCUGAUGAAGGUUCGAUUCCUUCUGGGGGCACCA
rnacentral:tRNA from 1 species